rnacentral:rRNA from 1 species
GACGAACGCUGGCGGCGUGCUUAACACAUGCAAGUCGAACGGAAAGGCCUGCUUUCCCUUGUGGAUUGCGGGUACUCGAGUGGCGAACGGGUGAGUAACACGUGAGUGAUCUGCCCCCAACUUGGGUAUAAGCCUGGGAAACUGGGUCUAAUUCCCGAUAGGACUGCAGGGUGGUGCCGGUGGUGGAAAACGAUUUUCUAGUGGUUGGGGAUGAGCUCGCGGCCUAUCAGCUUGUUGGUGGGGUAAUGGCCUACCAAGGCGGCGACGGGUAGCCGGCCUGGGAGGGUGGACGGCCGCAUUGGGACUGAGAUACGGCCCAGACUCGUGCGGGAGGCAGCAGUGGGGAAAAUUGCACAAUGGGCGGAAGCCUGAUGCAGCGACGCCGCGUGGGGGAUGGCGGCCUUCGGGUUGUAAACUCCUUUCGACCGCGAGGAAGCCACCUGGUUGGAGGGGUGGUGACGGUAGUGGUAGAAGAAGCACCGGCUAACUACGUG